UGUCCCGAGCCCCCCGCUGACGCCAGUGCCUGGCAGGGCCCCCCCUGCCACGAGGACUGGGAGGCAGACGCCACCGAGGCCUCGUCCCCCUUCGUGCUGGAUGUGGACGUCGGGGACCGCCUGCCCCCCGGGCCCAGCUCGGCAGGUGGCACCAGGACAGGGGCGCCGCAGUAGG